CUUCCCUCAUGUGUCCUCCUCUAUAAUCCCUCGCUUGAACUUGACGCCACAUCCUUCUGGAAUAAUCUGUGUCGCUGACACGCCUCAUUUCUCCUUUCGCGCAGCAAAGGGAAGAUGAGUAGUCGCUCGAGCCGCACUCUGUACGUGGGGAAUUUGCCUGGGGAUAUUCGUUUGAGAGAAGUGGAGGAUCUGUUUUAUAAGUAUGGACCUAUUGUUGAUGUUGACUUGAAGAUCCCACCAAGGCCCCCAGGUUAUGCUUUUGUUGAGUUUCAUGAUGCUCGUGAUGCAGAAGAUGCUAUUCGUGGUCGUGAUGGUUAUAAUUUUGAUGGUUAUCGACUAAGAGUUGAGCUUGCACAUGGAGGGCGAAGACAGUCAUCAUCUGUUGAUCGGUACAGCAGUUAUAGUGGUAGCAGUGGUCGUGGGCCUUCCAGGCGCUCUGAUUAUCGGGUUCUGGUGACUGGGCUACCCCCAUCUGCCUCUUGGCAGGACCUAAAGGAUCACAUGCGCAAAGCAGGGGAUGUCUGUUUUUCUCAAGUGUUUCGUGAUCGUGGUGGCAUGACUGGAAUAGUAGAUUACACAAACCAUGAUGAUAUGAAAUAUGCUAUUAGGAAACUGGAUGACUCUGAGUUUCGGAAUGCAUUUUCUCGGGCUUAUAUAAGGGUGAGAGAGUAUGAUUCUAGCUACUCGAGGAGCCCUAGUCGCAGCCCAUAUGAUUCAAGAAGCAGAAGCAGAAGCAGAAGUCGAAGUCGCAGCCGCAGCUAUAGUGGCAGAAGCAAGAGCAAGUCUCCAAGGGCAAAAUCUUCUCGUCGUUCUCGGUCUAUUUCUCCUCCUAGAUCCCUUUCUCCGCAUUCUCGUUCGGGAUCACCUCCUCGCUCUAUGUCAAGAUCUGGCUCUAUGCGGCGACUUGGGGAUUGGAUGUUAGGAACUUGAUGGGAUGUGGUGCUCACGUACCUGUAUCUCAUUUAUUGUGGAGGUAAUGUUGUUGCUCUUGUCAGUGAGGGUUAACCUGUUUGUUUGCUAGAUCUGGCUCUUGCUGCAACAUGGGGAUUGGAUAUUAGGGACUUGAUGGGAUUUGGUGUUCACAUGCGUCAUGCUUGUAUCUCAUAUAUUUUGGAGGUAAUGUUACUUCUGUCAGUGGGCACCUGUGGAAAACCUUAAAAUAUUUCAAUGCUAAUAUGUUAUGCAUGUGUGCCUAUGAGUGUGAUGGAUCGGAGCAAUCUAGAUGGAUUGGUGACAUUGUCAAAGCUGGAUUUCCCUGAACUAGAUACUUUUGGUUGUACUACAAGGCACAUACUUGCAGUAGGGGCAAAAUAAGGACUUCUUCGACCUCUCUUUAACUUGUGUCCAGAAUUCUUUGACUUGGUGAUAAAGGUCGAGAGGAUGUGAUUCUCAUUUCUGUGUUUAUGGUGCUCUAUUGGUUAUUUGCCUUCUCUUUCUGGGUCCAUUAGCUCUCAAGACCUGGUGGGGAAAGGUCAGCUGCCUUAUCGUGCGGUUACAAUUUUGAGAUGUUGAAUCUGAUGCAUUUCGUCAGUUGCUGCUAAUUAUUGAUGAUAAUAGUCACUUCUUUAAUUGUGCUUAGUCUGAGAUCGAAGUGGCAUUGAGGCUUUUGGAUCAAAGGUUAUAAAAUAAAGGAUUGUGCUGGAUAUUGAAUUCAGUUGUUUCUGGCAAUUUUUGCAGAUCUCGUUCCAGAUCGAAAUCUCCACUUUCACCUCCGCGCAGCAAAGGUGCAAGUAAAAGUCCCAGGGAACGCAGUGCUAGCAGGAGCCGUAGCUUGUCUGAAUCUCGUUCACCCUCUGUGAGGUCUGAUUGAUGGCAGCAAUUGGGCGGAGUCCGCAAUUAUCAUUGAGGAUGUCUUGUAGUCAUGUAAAACUUUAUAUUUGUAGACAUUAGGGUUUAAAAUAACUAGGAGUGCAUCGUGUCUGCUCUUGUCGGACUGUAUUUUGCAUGCUGCAGAUUAUUAUUAAAGGAACUUGAUACAGAACCGCAUUGUAUCAAACUUGAAUUGAUCUUAGCUGCUAAUCCUGCUUUAGUAUAUGGGUAUGCGUGAAUGUAGAAAAUACAUUUUGCUU